UUUUUUUUCUUUUUCUUUUUUUGGCCACUUUGUGGCAUAUGGAGUUCCCAGGCCAUGGAUCAGAUCCAAGCCGAAGUUGUGACCUAUGCUGCAGCUGCGCAUCGCCAGGUCCUUAACCCACUGUGCUGGGCGGGGAAUGGAACCCACAUCCUGGUGCUCCAGAGACAACACUGAUCCCAAUGCACCACAGCGGGAACUCCUCAAAGGGCUAUUGUUUGAGGCUUGGCCCUUGUGGAACCUGGUCUGGAAAUGUGGCCCCCAUAAAUCCUCCCACCCCUGUUUGCAUGUGUGGCUUCUCUCAUUCAAAUGAGUUAUUUCCCCUUUUCCUUGAAGCUGAGCAAGGCUUACACCUUACUUUGACCAAUAGAAUACUGUUAAGUGACAUUAUAUGACUUCCAAGCUGAGGCCUUGAAAACCGCCAUGUAAAUAAGCUCAUUCUCUAUGAUUUGAGACCAUAAGGACAGAUUGAGAGCCCAACCUUUUGGCUGUCCCCAGCAAUGCCCAGACAGGUAGAUAAGGCCAUCUUGGACCUUCUAGCCCAGGACAACCCAGCUGCCAACUAUGUGCAGCCAGAUGAGUGGACUCAGGUAAGAAGUUCAAGGAAUGCCCAACCGGCCCAAAGAAUGAAGAGAAAUAACAGAUUGCUGUUGUUGAAGUUCCUAAGUCUGGGAAUGCCUUGUUACACAGCAAUAGCUAAUAGAUACAGCAUUCUCACAGCCAUUCGCAUCAAGUCAAGUAUCUCUAGGCCUGGUAUCUGAGCUCUCCCUGUGAACCUUUAUGAGCAUAGGUAGUGGAUUACAAGGCCCAUGUCCUGGGCAUCCAAAUGCCAGGGGCAGAUGUCACCUAUUCCUACCUGGUCAGUGACACUGGCUGCAAACCAGUAAAUAAAGAGCAUCAAUCCCAGUAUCGGAGAUCCUGGCCCCAAUAUUUACCUGUUCAGUGUAAAAUAUCACUUCCAAUUUCUGCCCCAUAAAAAUUGGGAAAAGUAAUAUCAGGAUACUGUUAUUGGUAAUACUGGGAUAAGCGGAAAAGUUGUUUCUGCCCCUGGGACAUUCUAAGAUAAAUAAUUACACCCUGUAACUGAAAAGACAGAAGAGAAAAUUUAAACAUUAUACUAAGCUAGCUCAGACCUGAUGGUAGAGAAGCUAGGUUACUCAGAGAAUGCCUUCAUUCCAGCAAUCUUUUCAACCCUCACCUUCUCAACACCAGACGUGGCACUGCAAAGAUGAGUAAGACAGCUCUGCAAGAACUUCCUGUCUAACCCAGGGAACAAACAACAAACAAAUACACGUGAUUCACUGUUAUGAAUCAUGAGGAGGAAGAACACUGGCAUGGAUCUCAGUAGGACCAAAAAGUAACAAGUUUUUCCUUUGUUUGAACUGGCAAGAAUCUGUGCUUACAAAGGAACAUUCUUCUUUCACUUCACCUUGGGAAGCAAUCCUUUUUUCAAUAAUGCUGCCCUUUCCUAACAGGAGUUUUCCUAACUUCUGGAACGAGAUCAAAUAAAGAUUCACACAAGAAAACGCCUCAGUAUUUUAAACCAACAGACCAAUAUGGUACCAUCCUGCAGGCCCUUUCAUUGAAUUUGGUAAUGAAGGACAUUUUGGCUCUUUCAGGAAAAAAAAAGGGGUCAACAUCCUUCUUCAACUAAUGAGACCCUGAAGUUCCCUUGUGGUGUAUGGGUUAAGGAUCCAGCUUUGUCACUGCAGUGGCUCUGGUUGCUGCUGUGGCGUGGGUUGGAUCCCUCGCCACAGGCACAGCUAAAAAUAAUUUAAAAAUAAAAAAUGAGGCCAUGCCACCUUUAAGGAUAUUGAAAAAAAUAUGUAAGGCUCUGAAGGCAGUUCAACAGCUGUGUGUGCACUGUUAGAAUGUUAAGGCCUACCAGGCUGACUACGUGGAGUGUACUGUUCCCACUUGAGUGUCGUACAAGUUCUACAGGGAGGGGGUGGGGGGCAGGGGUCUGCCUAAUUGCUUUGGUCUACAGAUACAACUCUGAGGUUUAUCGUUCUAUUUCAGGUGUCUUCAUCUUUCUCACUUGCAACCCAAGCCCUCGAGGACAGACUGCCAAAAAAGCCUUUAAAAACAGGGAGGCUUGGGAGUUCUCUGGUGGCCUAGUUGCUAAGGAUCCGGUGUUGUCACUGCUGUGGCUUGGGUUCAGUCCCCAGCCCGGGAACUUUUUUUUUUUCUUAAAUACAUACUGUUGUGGGAUUCUCCCCCACUUUUUAAUUCUUAAAACAUGUUUAAAUUUUUUACUUAUUUUUCUUUUUACAGCUGCACAUAUGGCAUGUGGAGGUUCCCAGGCUAGAAGCUGAAUCGGACCCAGCCUACACCACAGCCGCAGCAACACUGGAUCCUUGACCCAUUGAGCAAGGCCAGGGAUUGAACCCACAUCCUCACAGACACUAUAUUGGGUUUUUAACCUACUGAGUCACAACAGGAACUCCAAGGCCCAUGAAAUUUUACCUGCCAAGUUUUGCAGCCAAAACAACAGCAACCGCCAAAAGCAAAAACAAAAAAACCCCCCAAAAACCCGAGGGAGGCUCAUGGGCAUCAGCGGGGUUUGGGAUGCUCUACAUCAGAGUCCGGCCAAAGCCCUUAAGGCACACAGUGUGGAAUGUUCUAAACACUUUAAAAGGAAGCUCAGGUCAAUAUAGAAAAAGGCCCAUUAUACUUCCCUCACUGCCUUCAUGUCAAGUUAUGUUAACCUAUAACAUAGAGACAAUGUGACUAAGGCACAGGGAUGCUGGCUUCAGUGCCCAGUCCACCUCCCCCUCUUCCCGGCACUGUCUGUACAGCAGCCAGACCUGGGAGCUGCCUCAGGUAAGCUUCCUGGGCACAGGCUCUAUUUGUCUAACUGAACAGGGUGCUAGGGACACCUGUAAUCCUACCUGCUUACCUCUGAUUAACCUUAGCCAGGUACGGGGCUUAGGUAUGACCCAAACAACAACCCCGGUAGCCUUGGGGUCGAAUGCCCAGUAAGAGACUGGGAACAUGGUAGUUGGUGGGGGAAGGGUGGAGGAAAAUUUCUGACCCACUCAAAGGUUCUGCUGGUUUAUGGUGUUACUGGAGAUUUUUAAGACCCCACAGACUCAAAUAUUCACCUGUGACACUCCCUUAGGUCACUUUCUCUCAAGUUCUCCAGACCACCUAACUUCAGAUCAGGGGCUCAGCCUAGGGAGGGUAAAUGACCAUGAAAAGCAAACUGAACUCAGAGGAAUGGAGAUGGUUCAAAUAAUUUGCUCUCCUUUUCCUCUAGGGACAAACACUGCAGUGCCCUUUCUAGCAAGAGUGACCAGUGGACACUCACUCCAAAAGCUUUUUUUUUGGCCUUUUCUUUGCAGAAGUUUCCGGGCUAGGGAUUGAAGCCAAGCCACAGCAGUGACCUGAGCCACAGCAGUGACAAUGCUGGAUCCUUAACAUGCUGAGCCACCAAGGAACUCCUCCAAAAAGCUCUUGACACACCCCCACCCUCUGUCAAAAACCUGGAUCUGCAGACCCUUCUGUAAAGAAGAAUGCUAAGUCCAACCUCAAGAAUUUACCUGAAUAGAAGCAUCACUUUGUGUCAAACCCCAGAGGUCUGAAAGGGUGAGGGUUGUCAUAUUCGUCACUCACUCCUGAGUACUCAGAGCUUGGUACUUACACCAAUGGCUGGGAGCUAGUUAGAAAUGCUGGAUCUCAGGCCUUACCCCCUCAACUGAAGAAUCAGAAUCUGCUAUGAAAUGAGGCCCCAGGUCAUUCACAUGCACAUUGAAGACUGAGAAACAGCACCCCAGAUGGAAGCAGAAGCGGGGUAGGAAUGACCUUUUUUCAUGAGGUCAAGUUCCUCUAUGGGCAGGGCAAAGGGGUGGGCUGAAGUGGGCUUUGGAGUUAGACCCCACACU
rnacentral:lncRNA from 1 species